GACGAACGCUGGCGGCGUGCCUAAUACAUGCAAGUAGAACGCUGAAGAGAGGAGCUUGCUCUUCUUGGAUGAGUUGCGAACGGGUGAGUAACGCGUAGGUAACCUGCCUGGUAGCGGGGGAUAACUAUUGGAAACGAUAGCUAAUACCGCAUAAAAUUGAUUAUCGCAUGAUAAUCAAUUGAAAGGUGCAAAUGCAUCACUACCAGAUGGACCUGCGUUGUAUUAGCUAGUUGGUGGGGUAACGGCUCACCAAGGCGACGAUACAUAGCCGACCUGAGAGGGUGAUCGGCCACACUGGGACUGAGACACGGCCCAGACUCCUACGGGAGGCAGCAGUAGGGAAUCUUCGGCAAUGGACGGAAGUCUGACCGAGCAACGCCGCGUGAGUGAAGAAGGUUUUCGGAUCGUAAAGCUCUGUUGUAAGAGAAGAAACGAGUGUGAGAAGUGGAAAG
rnacentral:rRNA from 1 species